UCAAGUAAUGCAAUAUAUUCUCUCUCUGCCAGAACCAAACUGUACCAGCACCAACGAACGCCUUUGUGCUAGGAAUAAAUAGGAUGAAUAAAUCUCUACCAGCACCAACAUUGACAGCUUGUUUGUUCACACGUAGCAAUGUUUUGCAUUAAACUGAACCAUGCCAAUACAUAAAACUUCAACAUGAGACUUUGUAAAAAGUUAAUCUUUGCAAUACGACAAAGGUUCACAACAUCAAAUGAUCACAGUCUAGCCAAGGUUACAUAAAAACUGAAUCUUUGCAUUAUUAGCACCACCCAACAAAGAUUUUCAUUGCUCAAGGAUCUUCCUCUGUCCGUUCAGCAUCACACUUCACCCAAUAUUUCCUGCAAAAUAUGAUGAGAAAUGGUGACAUAUGGUCUCAUAGGGCACAAUGGUUGUACAAAUUGCUCAAAGUGAAUACAUAACUGAAUCUUUGCAUUAUUAGCACCACCCAACAAAGAUUUUCAUUGCUCAAGGAUCUUCCUCUGUCCGUUCAGCAUCACACUUCACCCAAUAUUUCCUGCAAAAUAUGAUGAGAAAUGGUGACAUAUGGUCUCAUAGGGCACAAUGGUUGUACAAAUUGCUCAAAGUGAAAGAUGUGACAGCCAAUAAGACAAAUCAAAGUGUGACACGAUAAGCUUUAGCUUGCAACAAUCUUUACAAAGGGUAAAAAAAAUACCUCAACUUGAUAUAGAAGUUGCUCAAAGGUUAACUUGCACUUCAUUUGCACAAUUAUCAUGAAUCGAAAGGUAGUGGCGACAAACCAGCAACAACCGAGUAGGUUAAGUAGGACCAAAACUAAGUCGAUAAGAGACUACAUAUUAAAACAGAGGAUAUAUAUAGGAAAAUGGGUUGGUACACCUAGGAGUACAUACUCCUAUGUCAUGUGUCAUUUCUUUUUUUAUUUUCCACUGUUGUUUAUUGUGCCAUCGCAACAAACCUCCUUAGCAUUUAGUUAGUUGAUUAGGUGCUAAUCAGAAGUGGUCCCGUGGAGUUUGAAAGUUUGUUCCAUACUAAUAGGGAUAAGGCACAUUCAGAUUCAAAUCUUGUUAGCACCGCAUUAACAUGCAUCGUUCUUCUUUCAUUAAAAUCAAUCCACCUACUGAUUAGGGCUUGGAGACAAGACGCAGCCGGCAGCCGCUUGUUGACUCGACGACGAGGCACAUUAGAUGUGGUUGGCGCAACUCAAACUUGAAGAUGAGAAGAUGAGAUGCUGCCGACAAUCUAACUCGUCAAGGUGCAUCAUUUAUUCAAUAUUAUUUCUGGUCUACGAACUUCAGAUUGAGCUGCAAAAGCAUGCAUCAACCACUCUUUCCGUGACUAAUUCAUUGCUUGCUCAGGUAGGCAUCUAGUUGGCUGUACCCCUUAUCUAAGCUCUAUGCAUGCAGGUAGAAUUUCCCAAGGUGUCAUCUGGAGGCCAUGGAUAGCAUGGCGUGGAGUGCCUGCGAUUUCGAUGCGUUGGACUCCUAACAUCAUGCUGCCCACCGUGCGUGUGCUUGCCGGCGACAAACAGAACAACAACAAGAAGAUGCUUUUGCAGUGAAGAACAAAUGAAUGUAGACUAGAUAUCCACUCCAGAAUGCAUAUGUAAUACGUGCAUGCUUAUCAUACAUUUCUCUAUGGAUGUAUCAAAUUUAGUGAAUAUACUUCAAUUUCAGCAGAGUAUAUACUUCAUUCAAGUGGAUAUACUUCAAAUCAAUUUCAGCAGAGAGUAUGCAUCAUUCGUAUGAACAACUGAAUAUACUGCUAUAUCAGCUGGGUAUAUCCUUUUUUUGGUCGAGAAGUAUAUACUCCAAUAAAAAAAAGUAUAUACUCUCCAAUUAAAAAAUUAAGUACAAACUCCUAAACCCUUGGCCACAGUACUCCAAUUAAAAUUUAAAUAUUUAGUAUAUACUCUUCUCGCUAGUACUAGAUACUCAUUGAUCGCAAUGCUAAUUGCACAAGAAAGCAACUAAAAAAUUGCACAAGAAAACCGUAUACUUUUGUUAUAAGCAGUAUAUACCGGUCUAAAAAUAUAUACAUCACAAAAUAGUAUAUAAUCCUACUUUUUUUGAAGUAUAUACUCCUAUGAAGAAACGACUGUAUAUACUUCUUUUUGUGGUAGGUUGUUCUUUGAUCGGAGAGUAGUAUAUAUGUCGCAUAUACUGCAAAAUAGUGCUUCCAGCACACAUUGAUAGGGAACAAGAAUUAGUUAUUCCUCAUGUAUGAAUGAUGCUCAAAGCAUUCAUUGUUAAUCUAGGACUCCCGACUGAUGUUCUUGAAUUACAACUCUACACAUGGCCUACAAGCAGUCACCCAGUCACUUAGCUAAUCCAAACAGAGCAAAAUUAUCCGAAGAACCUGUCUAGAUCUUAUGGAGCAAUAUAUUGCAGCAAUCAAAGGAAAUAACAACCUAGUCCAUAUGACAAUGUUGUGACAAUAUAUCCAAGCAAAUAUAUUGCAGCAACCAACUGAAGAACCACUCUGAUUGAAAGAGGCGAAGCAUACCCUGCUUGCUCCCAGACCAAGAGCCCCGGUGCCUCUUGCUCCUUAGUCCUCCGGGGGUGGAGUUGACCUACCGUGGGCUGCCCAGAUCGGGUGGCUGGAGUGAGGCGUCCUGCUGAACAGGUGGGUUCAGGUUAGGGUUAGGGUUCAAGAAGAAAAACGCAUCAGAGAGAGGGAGGGGGGAGAAGAGAGGUGGGGAAGGGAGCGAGAGGAGAAGCCUUACCGGUGGCGAGAGGGACAGGUAACCAAGACGUCGGAGUGUCCUUGCGACCUUGCCGGAGAGGGACAGUACGGGGCGGAGAUGGACCGGGACCGGGACGGGACGGGGCGGGGUGGAGGAUAGGGUGGGUGGCGGCGGGGUGGAGGAGAGGGAUCGAGAGAGACAGAGAGCUGCGUCGGGCCUCCAAAUCCAGACAAAUGAGGGCAUCUCCGGCCGUUGGCCCUCCAGGAAGGGCAAAAAAUCGCCCCUGGAGGCGCACCGGCGCUAAGCCCCG
rnacentral:lncRNA from 1 species